rnacentral:rRNA from 1 species
AUGACAUUGUUUUCAUCAACCAUUCCCAUCAUAAGGUGCAAUGCCUCCCUACGGAUGUUUGAGUCAGCAUCACCCAGUGACAGGGCAAUCACAUCACGGCUCUCAUUGACAGUUGAUGCAUAUGCUGGGCCAAGCAUACCAAGUGCCAAGAGCCCGAGAUAGCGCAGGUUAGGAUCAUCAGAAGCAGCAAGGAAUUCCUUGACUUUCCCAAUGGCAAGGCUCACUGCGGCACCAUGCGCUGGUAGUGCAGUUAGCACCGUGCGGACACACUCGAAUGUCAGCGACAUGGCUGAUGAACGAGUGAGGAGCUGGCAGACUGGAUCAACAAUCCGCGCAGCUAGGCGCGACUCCAGAGGGGCCAGCCUAGCAAAUAUCUUGAGCACCUUGAUGAGCGCCCAGUUGGAGCGGGAUGUGGUUAGCAGAUUGUAA